UGCGAAACAAGUUUAUUUGGGUGGAUUUGAUACAGCUCUGGCUGCUGCUAGAGCUUAUGAUAGAGCUGCAAUUAAGUUCCGAGGUGUUGAAGCUGAUAUUAACUUUAAUCUCACUGAUUAUGCUGAUAUGAAUCAGGUGAUGAAUCUGCCCAAAGAAGAAUUUGUGCAGAU